UACGUAGGGGGCAAGCGUUGUCCGGAUUUAUUGGGCGUAAAGAGCGUGUAGGCGGCCAGGUAGGUCUGCUGUGAAAACUCGAGGCUCAACCUCGAGACGUCGGCGGAAACCAUCUGGCUAGAGUCCGGAAGAGGAGAGUGGAAUUCCUGGUGUAGCGGUGAAAUGCGCAGAUAUCAGGAAGAACACCCGUGGCGAAGGCGGCCCUCUGGGACGGUACUGACGCUGAGACGCGAAAGCGUGGGGAGCGAACAGG
rnacentral:rRNA from 1 species